CCCAGUCUUCCAGGCCCUAGAGGGCGCGUUCCAGUUCCGCCUCCGCUGCGGCGUUCCGGUAGUUAGCCAGGUUGCUACCAAACACAACAGCAAAAAAAGUAACUUAAGUGCUUUAAACGUCGCCUGAAAUCCGUGACACUGCCUUUUCCCACCUCGGCAGCGAUUUAUAAACCAUAACAAGCCCUAUAGAUAGAAAAUAUCAACUUUUGUGAAGGAAAAAGUUGCAUGGAGUGCUGCAUUACCAACUGGACUUGGUAGCCUGCCACCUUGGACUCCGAAGACCAAGAUUGCUCCUUCAGUCUUGGAACUUUUUAAGAAAAUCGUUGACUGCUGGACCGACAGCUGACAUCCAGUUGCGCCUCGCUGAUAUCAAUCCUGACCUCCUUUGAAGAGUCUCGGAUUGCAAUUACAUUUG
ensembl:lncRNA